GAGCUGAAGUACAUAAGCCAUCAAAAAGACUUACAUUGCUGUAACAUUCUGAUUUUCCAUGAGAAAGUCUCCCAGCCCAGUUAAAACAGCAGAAGUUUUAGGAUAUCAGUAAGCCCUCCAGAGCUAGGUGCCUAACUGCCUCUGAAUCUGUAAGCAUAGCAGGGUAAGACUAAUAGGCUCUUCCUGGUAUUACAAAGGCAUUUGGAGGUUACAUUCAUUAAAGGCUGAAAGGUGCGGGGGUAUAAUCAGGCAAUGAGAGCUAUGUGGGCCCUUUUCUUAGGUUGUUGCCACCUGGGAGUUAAGAGAGAAACUCAGAAUCCUCUGAUUUCCCCUGGCCUGUUUGAGUGAGUUUGCAGGUCUCGGUUAAAACUCAAGAGCAUAGUAUUUAAAAAACCUUGUCAUAAUAGGCAGACUUGAUGGAAGACUCAACAGAAAAGACAAAACUCCCCAGGCACAAUGGGGAAGUGAGACUGGUAGAAGGCACAUGGGAAGCACCAGUUAAGGCACAGAGUAUUCUAUUUAAUUGCAACUGGAGAGAAAGACUGCUUUGCAGCCAUAAAUUGCAGCCUUCCUCAGUUAUCCUGGUACUCUUCAAAAAAAGAUCUUCAAAAAUUGUUCUUUUUGGCUAUGAAAAUUUUAUCAGAAUAUUUCUGUAGUACUUUGUACCUUUAAUAAGAGUAUUUAAAACAAAAAAAUCAACACUAUUAAUACAAAAUAAAAAGUCUUGCAGGACUACAAUUAGAGUUUUGCAGUUUUGCUUUCCAAUGUGUACUAAU